rnacentral:lncRNA from 10 species
UCUGUACCCAUGGAUUCAAUCAACCACAAAUUGAAAAUGUAGUUAGGUCUAUGAUAGUUGCAUCUGUACUGCACAUGUACAGACUUUUUUUUCUGGUCAUUAUUCCCUAAACGAUGAGUAUAAUGACUAUUUACAUAGCAUUUACAUUGCUUCAUUUCAGUGAAGUGGUAGGGGUGUAAGUGUGACUGGAGUGGAUUCAAGAAACAAUAAGAGAAGAGACAAUAGCAACAGCCGAAGGUGCAGCUCUUCUUAUGGAGAUAGCAGAGACACAAGAGACCAAGCUCAACUACACAAGCAUAUUUCAUGUCUCUGCUUACGUCACAUCUGUCAUUAUCCCAUUGGCCAAGGUAAGUCACAUGGUUGAGUUCAAAGUCAAGGGACUGGAACAUCUUAUCCUCUGGGGUUGAGAGAAGGAAGAGGAUGUUUUUGAAUAAUAACCAAAUCUACCAUAUCAAUCAAAGUAUCUCUUAAUUCUGUGCUGGAGGUCUUUUGUCUGUUACCUUUGUGGCAAAUAUUUCCACUAAAUCUCCCCAAUAAACUUCUGGAAAUCCUAAAAGGCUCUCUUUGGGGAUAUUGUAUCAUAUCCUUCAUUUAAUGGAGGAGAUAAAUGGUAUUAUUUGACUUGCAGAGAAAUGGGUCCAGGGAUAGAAUAUGCAGGCAAUUUUUGUCACAUUGAUGGAUCAGGAAUCCCACAAAUUACCCAGUGGAUCCUCCAACCAACCAAAAGUUAUAAAGAAUUCAGGGGUUCUAGGAAGGUAAGGGGAGGCAUUUUUAUCUAUUGGAAACUGUCAACAGGGAGUUUUGUUUCCUUGUUUUAUGCAUUCAUUCAUUCACUAAAUAUUUUUAUUGAGCAUCAACUGUGGGUCAGGCAUUGUGCUGAGGGCACAUGGUGAAUAAAACAGCUGAGAUACAACUGUGCAGUGCCAUAAAAGAGAGGAACAUAGUGCUGCAAUUGAGAGCACUGGUAUGGGAGGGGAGAGGAUAACUUAUAGUGAUUAGAGGAGGUCUCACUGAAGAGGUAGCAUUUAGGCUGAGAUCUGAAGGGUGAGAAGGAUCUAGCCACAUGAAGAAUUAGAGAAAUUACAUAACCAUGAGGCAUAUCAGAGUUUAUUACCUAUAACAUUGAUGAGAAAUGUUAAAGAACCAAAAGGCAUUAUAUGAUGGAUUUCAUUGUAACUGCUUUAGAGAAAAAUGUCAUGAGAAAGAAAUCUGUGGCAAAUAAAAAGGGAAGUAAAGGGGAUAGAAUAGAAAUGCACUAACACUUUGUCCUGUUGUUACCCUCAAUAUCAUACACUUCACUGAUUAUACCCUCCAAAGUGUAUUGCACCCAGCAACAAAAAUUGACAUACAAUCGAAGCUCUGCUACAAAGGAGCUAGCAACUUUGGAAUCCUGUUUGCAUCUGAUCUGCUCACUGCAAUAUAACACGUGCAUAAAACAGUGCAACCGUAUUUGUUUUAAUAAGGCCAUUCUGAGCAGCUGUUUAAUGAUCCAUGAUGUUAAAUGAAAACUACAGGUGUUCCAAAUGCAAACCUUAUGGCCCAGGGCCCCCCUUAUUACCGUUCUACAAUUAGCAGCCAACUGCUCUUAGGCUGUGCAAAGAAUUACCACCAUCAUCAUUACAUUAUUUCUUAAUUUCAUUCUCUGCCUAAGUGUCUUCCCCCAAAGGAAAAACCUGCUUGGCAUGGGAAAGCAUAAGAGUGAAAAAAUGAAAAGGGAAGGAGAACACAAAACACUCCCUGUCCAACCACAAGGAGGCCUCAGUGAAGGGGGAAAGAGCCAGCCAAAAGGCUCAGCCCCCUAAGGAAUCUUCCAGAGUGACUUUCUGGCCAAACUUAACAAAGUCUUGCUGAAACUAUUGGUGUUCAUAAGGAUUGCAUUAACCCUUUCUUCUUCAUGAUUCCCUAAGCUUAAUACUGUGCUAAGCCAAAUUGCCAGAAAGCUGCAUAGCUGGAUUCCAUCGCUCUGUCUUGUAGAGGGCUAAUUUUAUGCAAGUAUAAUUUUAACAUCACAACAGUUUUCACUUAAGGUACAUAUAAUAAACUGCAAAGAAGGAAGUCUUCUGUAUCACUUGUGAAAUUGCUGUCUGUAUCAUUAUCCAUUACAUACCUCAAUACCUCUUACAUAAAAAUGCCAGAGACAAAUUUAAUUAGAGCUCGGGAACAAGUUUAUCUUUCCAUGUCAAUGGGUACACUUUUUUCUGCAAAACUAGUAAUUCUCAAUUCUGGCUGCAUAUUAGAAUCACCUAAUAGUAAACACAUUUAUUUGCAUCCCAGCUCCUUCCCAGACCAUUUAAAUUCAAAUUUCUAGGAGUGGGCACUGGGCAGGACCAUCGAGUUGCAGUUCCAGGGGUCACCAUUCACAAUGUGCUUGGCCAAAUUACAGUAUUAUACUCUGCUGCCAAAAUUGAGAACCACUGCCCCAGAAAAUGAGAGUUUUAUAACUCACUGAUUUUGCUUCUUCAUUUUGGUUACUAAGAAGCUCAAAACUAAUUAUACUGAAUUGCAGUUUUCCUCUGCCAAAAUUUCUCAAUACAAUUUUCCCUCUGCAUCCCCUCAUAUUAAUGCUUUUACCAGUACUUUCAGUGUAAGCUACCAAAUAUUCUUUUUGUAGGUAAAGUAAAAUAAAACAAUAAAUAAAAUAAAGAUCUAUUGGGAGGCACAAGUAGAUCUAUAUACAAAUUUAUAUACAAAUCUCCCAUAAUCACCCCAAACGUAAGAUGGCCAAAGAUGGGCCGGGCGCAGUGGCUCAUGCCUGUAAUCCCCAGCACUUUGGAAUGCCAAGAUGGGCAGAUCAUGAGGUCAGGAGUUCGAGACCAGCCUGGUCAACAUGGUGAAACCCCUGUCUCUACUAAAAAUACCAAAAAAAAAAAAAUUACCCGGGUGUGGUGGCACAUGCCUGUAAUCUCAGAUACUUGGGAGGUUGAGGCAGGAGAAUCGCUUGAAACCAGAAGGCGGAGGUUGCAGUGAGCUGAGAUCGCACCACUGCACUCCAGCCUGGGCAAUAAGAAUGAAACUCCAUCUCCAAA